CAGCAGCCGCCACGGGAAUACAGAGGGUGCGAGCGUUAAUCGGAUUUACUGGGCGUAAAGCGUGCGUAGGCGGCUUCUUAAGUCGGAUGUGAAAUCCCUGAGCUUAACUUAGGAAUUGCAUUCGAUACUGGGAAGCUAGAGUAUGGGAGAGGAUGGUAGAAUUCCAGGUGUAGCGGUGAAAUGCGUAGAGAUCUGGAGGAAUACCGAUGGCGAAGGCAGCCAUCUGGCCUAAUACUGACGCUGAGGUACGAAAGCAUGGGGAGCAAACAGGAUUAGAUACCCGUGUAGUCCCUGUCUCUUAUAC
rnacentral:rRNA from 1 species